rnacentral:rRNA from 1 species
AGUGAACGCUGGCGGUAGGCCUAACACAUGCAAGUCGAACGGCAGCACAGUAAGAGCUUGCUCUUACGGGUGGCGAGUGGCGGACGGGUGAGGAAUACAUCGGAAUCUACUUUUUCGUGGGGGAUAACGUAGGGAAACUUACGCUAAUACCGCAUACGACCUACGGGUGAAAGCAGGGGAUCUUCGGACCUUGCGCGAUUGAAUGAGCCGAUGUCGGAUUAGCUAGUUGGCGGGGUAAAGGCCCACCAAGGCGACGAUCCGUAGCUGGUCUGAGAGGAUGAUCAGCCACACUGGAACUGAGCCACGGUCCAUACUCCUACGGGAGGCAGCAGUGGGGAAUAUUGGACAAUGGGCGCAAGCCUGAUCCAGCCAUACCGCGUGGGUGAAGAAGGCCUUCGGGUUGUAAAGCCCUUUUGUUGGGAAAGAAAAGCAGCAGGUUAAUACCCCGCUGUUCUGACGGUACCCAAAGAAUAAGCACCGGCUAACUUCGUG